GAGUCGAUAGCUCAGUUGGUAGAGCACCGGCCUUUUAAGCCGAGGGUCGGGGGUUCAAAUCCCCCUCGACUCA
rnacentral:tRNA from 2 species